CGAACGCUGGCGGCGUGCCUAAUACAUGCAAGUAGAACGCUGAAGAGAGGAGCUUGCUCUUCUUGGAUGAGUUGCGAACGGGUGAGUAACGCGUAGGUAACCUGCCUUGUAGCGGGGGAUAACUAUUGGAAACGAUAGCUAAUACCGCAUAACAAUGGAUGACACAUGUCAUUUAUUUGAAAGGGGCAAUUGCUCCACUACAAGAUGGACCUGCGUUGUAUUAGCUAGUAGGUGAGGUAAUGGCUCACCUAGGCGACGAUACAUAGCCGACCUGAGAGGGUGAUCGGCCACACUGGGACUGAGACACGGCCCAGACUCCUACGGGAGGCAGCAGUAGGGAAUCUUCGGCAAUGGGCGAAAGCCUGACGGAGCAACGCCGCGUGAGUGAUGAAGGGUUUCGGCUCGUAAAACUCUGUUAUUAGGGAAGAACAAAUGUGUAAGUAACUGUGCACAUCUUGACGGUACCUAAUCAGAAAGCCACGGCUAACUACGUG
rnacentral:rRNA from 1 species